rnacentral:rRNA from 1 species
GCUUACGGCCAUACCAACCUGGCUAUGCCCGAUCUUGUCUGCUCUCCGAAGCUAAGCAGGUUUGGGCCUGGUUAGUACUUGGAUGGGAGACCGCCUGGGAAUACCAGGUGCUGUAAGCU